UACAGAGGGUGCAAGCGUUAAUCGGAAUUACUGGGCGUAAAGCGCGUGUAGGCGGCCCUGUAAGUCGGGUGUGAAAUCCCACGGCUCAACCGUGGAAGUGCAUUCGAAACUACAGGGCUAGAGUUCUGGAGAGGAAGGUGGAAUGCUUGGUGUAGAGGUGAAAUUCGUAGAUAUCAAGCGGAACACCGGUGGCGAAGGCGGCCUUCUGGACAGUAACUGACGCUGAGACGCGAAAGCGUGGGGAGCAAACAGG
rnacentral:rRNA from 1 species